GGCUUCCUACGGGGGGCAGCAGUGGGGAAUAUUGCACAAUGGGGGAAACCCUGAUGCAGCCAUGCCGCGUGUGUGAAGAAGGCCUUCGGGUUGUAAAGCACUUUCAGUUGUGAGGAAAGUUUAGUAGUUAAUACCUGCUAGAUGUGACGUUAGCAACAGAAGAAGCACCGGCUAACUCCGUGCCAGCAGCCGCGGUAAUACGGAGGGUGCGAGCGUUAAUCGGAAUUACUGGGCGUAAAGCGCACGCAGGCGGUCUGUUAAGCUAGAUGUGAAAGCCCCGCGCUCAACGUGGGAGGGUCAUUUAGAACUGGCAGACUAGAGUCUUGGAGAGGGGAGUGGAAUUCCAGGUGUAGCGGUGAAAUGCGUAGAGAUCUGGAGGAACAUCAAUGGCGAAGGCAACUCCCUGGCCAGAGACUGACGCUCAUGUGCGAAAGUGUGGGUAGCGAACAGGAUUAGAUACCCUGGUAGUCCACACCGUAAACGCUGUCUACUAGCUGUUUGUGAAUUUAAUUCGUGAGUAGCGAAGCUAACGCGAUAAGUAGACCGCCUGGGGAGUACGGCCGCAAGGUUAAAACUCAAAUGAAUUGACGGGGGCCCGCACAAGCGGUGGAGCAUGUGGUUUAAUUCGAUGCAACGCGAAGAACCUUACCUACUCUUGACAUACUAGAAACUUUUCAGAGAUGAAUUGGUGCCUUCGGGAAUCUAGAUACAGGUGCUGCAUGGCUGUCGUCAGCUCGUGUCGCGAGAUGUUGGGUUAAGUCCCGCAACGAGCGCAACCCUUGUCCUUAGUUGCCAGCCUUAAGUUGGGCACUCUAAGGAGACUGCCGGUGACAAACCGGAGGAAGGUGGGGACGACGUCAAGUCAUCAUGGCCCUUACGAGUAGGGCUACACACGUGCUACAAUGGCGAGUACAAAGGGAUGCGAACCUGCGAAGGUAAGCGGACCCCUUAAAGCUCGUCGUAGUCCGGAUUGGAGUCUGCAACUCGACUCCAUGAAGUCGGAAUCGCUAGUAAUCGUAGG
rnacentral:rRNA from 1 species